UGGGGAAUAUUGGACAAUGGGCGAAAGCCUGAUCCAGCAAUGCCGCGUGAGUGAUGAAGGCCUUAGGGUUGUAAAGCUCUUUUACCCGGGAUGAUAAUGACAGUACCGGGAGAAUAAGCUCCGGCUAACUCCGUGCCAGCAGCCGCGGUAAUACGGAGGGAGCUAGCGUUGUUCGGAAUUACUGGGCGUAAAGCGCACGUAGGCGGCCAUUCAAGUCAGAGGUGAAAGCCCAGGGCUCAACCCUGGAACUGCCUUUGAAACUAGAUGGCUCGAAUCCGGGAGAGGUGAGUGGAAUUCCGAGUGUAGAGGUGAAAUUCGUAGAUAUUCGGAAGAACACCAGUGGCGAAGGCGGCUCACUGGACCGGCAUUGACGCUGAGGUGCGAAAGCGUGGGGAGCAAACA
rnacentral:rRNA from 1 species